rnacentral:rRNA from 1 species
UACGAGGGGGGCAAGCGUUGUUCGGAAUUAUUGGGCGUAAAGGGCGCGUAGGCGGUGCGGUAAGUCACCUGUGAAAGCCCCGGGCUCAACCUGGGAAUGGCAAUGGAUACUGGCAAGCUAGAGUGCGGUAGAGGGUAGUGGAAUUCCCGGUGUAGCGGUGAAAUGCGUAGAGAUCGGGAGGAACACCAGUGGCGAAGGCGGCUACCUGGACCAGCACUGACACUGAGGCACGAAAGCGUGGGGAGCAAACAGG